rnacentral:rRNA from 1 species
UACAGAGGGGACAAGCGUUAUUCGGAAUUAUUGGGCGUAAAGGGCGCGUAGGCGGCCUGGCAAGUGGAAGGUGAAAUCCCUCGGCUUAACCGAGGAACUGCCCUCCAAACUGCUUGGCUUGAGACCGGGAGAGGUGAGUGGAAUUCCCAGUGUAGCGGUGAAAUGCGUAGAUAUUGGGAGGAACACCAGUGGCGAAGGCGGCUCACUGGACCGGUACUGACGCUGAGGCGCGAAAGCUAGGGGAGCAAACGGG